rnacentral:rRNA from 1 species
CCCAGCCGUAAACGAUGGGCGCUAGGUGUGGGGGAGCCGAUCCUCCGUGCCGCAGCCAACGCAUUAAGCGCCCCGCCUGGGGAGUACGGCCGCAAGGCUAAAACUCAAAGGAAUUGACGGGGGCCCGCACAAGCAGCGGAGCAUGUGGCUUAAUUCGAAGCAACGCGAAGAACCUUACCAGGGCUUGACAUCACCGUGAAGCGGCGGAGACGCCGUGGCCGAAAGGAGCGGUGACAGGUGGUGCAUGGCUGU